UACGCUCACACAGGCUUCUUUCUUCCUCAACCUCCUCUGCUCCCUCCUGCUCCUUUGCCCAGGCCCCUCUCGGCCUCUGCUCAAUGGAGUGGCCGACGAGCGAGGGUUGAUGCCCGCUACUGAAUUCCCUGAAUUCCUUCUCGUUCCUCUAUUUUUCCCCCGAUCAAUUGACGCCCUAAUCUCCCUGAUUUUGAGCCUGUGUUGUUGGAUCGCAGGUCCUGGUCGCAGCCGUGCAGCUAGACGGCGCACACCGGAGCUCGGGGUACGCAGCCGCGGCGGAGCUGCUCCGGCGUAGACCCGCGGCCUGGUGCUCUACUGCCACUCCUGCGCUUUCCCCAUUACUCCCGUUCCCCAAGUCGAACUGCGGAUACUCGCAAUCUUUGGCCAGCUUUCUCCAUCGGGUGUUUGGCAGCUCUCCUUCAAGCGCUCACAACGCCGAACACAUAUAUGUUGAAGGGAGGAUGGUAGAUCAGGUACCGCAGGGAUGAGAAAUUUGCAGAUUCUUCGAAUGAAACAGAUGGCUCCUUGCAAUUAAUAAGAUUGAGGAAUUCUGGAACUGUAAAACCUUUAGCCGAGAGCAUGUGGUUGAGUAUCACAGGACUGCUAACACUGAG